AUAUCAAUAAGCGGAGGAAAAGAAACCAACAGGGAUUGCCCUAGUAACGGCGAGUGAAGCGGCAACAGCUCAAAUUUGAAAUCUGGCUCUUUCAGGGUCCGAGUUGUAAUUUGUAGAGGGUGCUUUGGAGUUGACUGUGGUCUAAGUUCCUUGGAACAGGACGUCGCAGAGGGUGAGAAUCCCGUAUGUGGCCGCCAGUCUUCUCCGUGUAAAGCCCCUUCGACGAGUCGAGUUGUUUGGGAAUGCAGCUCUAAAUGGGAGGUAAAUUUCUUCUAAAGCUAAAUAUUGGCCAGAGACCGAUAGCGCACAAGUAGAGUGAUCGAAAGAUGAAAAGCACUUUGGAAAGAGAGUCAAAAAGCACGUGAAAUUGUUGAAAGGGAAGCGCUUGCAGCCAGACUUGCCUGUAGUUGCUCAUCCGGGCUUUUGCCCGGUGCACUCUUCUAUAGGCAGGCCAGCAUCAGUCGCGGCGGUUGGAUAAAUGUCUGCACAAUGUACCUCUCUUCGGGGAGGACUUAUAGGGCAGGCGGCAUACAACCAGCUGCGAUUGAGGUCCGCGCAUCUGCUAGGAUGCUGGCGUAAUGGCUGUAAGCGG
rnacentral:rRNA from 1 species